rnacentral:lncRNA from 1 species
AAAGAAGCAGCGGCUUCCCUGCCUCUCAGGGGCCCGGGCUGGCGAGCUCCCGGGCAAGAGCCGGCACCCGGUAGGGAAACCAGGCGCCGGGUGACCGGCCUCCGGCCAACUGCUAACCCGGCCGGGCACUGCAGGCGCAGUUACGCGCGGCCCGCGCACGCAGCUUUCCCGGGCACACGGCGGCCUUCUCGAAAGAUAGCCCAGUGCUGCCCACGACCCAGGGCUGCUGUCGCCCAAGGCGAGUGGAGCUUCGCGGACCUCAACCUAGGUGCUGCUCCCCAAAGGGAAAAGGCGCGAUCUCCAUUCAAGCCCACCCUACCGAGUCUCCCAGUACCCGGUCCCUUCUCCCCAGGAGCUCUCGGACACCCCUCCGGGUGCCCACCCGAGAACGGGCUCGCUUCGGAAGGAAGUGGAGUGGACUCGAGAGAGCGAGACUGGAGUGAAGAGAGCGGCGGACUCCAGUCUGCAGCAAUUGGGGAGGGCUCGGAAAAGGGAGCGAACGAAGAGAAUCGAGGCAGGGUAGGGGCCCAGCGGUCCCAGCAACCUGUAGGAUUGCAGCUGAUCGCAAACUUGGGGUGGGAGGCAGACAGUGGUCCCCUCGGAGGUCCUCCACCCGACAGCCACCCCUUGCGCUCCGCGCGCGCGGAGAGGUGCAGGACGCAACUUGGGAAGCCAAGGCCAUCGGUGCGGGUCCCGAUCGGUCGCCUCCCCCCGUCCCNNNNNNNNNNNNNNNNNNNNNNNNNNNNNNNNNNNNNNNNAGCCGCAGCCCCCGCCGCCCAGAAGCAGAGCCCCAGCCAAGGGAGCCACCGGCGCGCCCCUCCAGCGCCUCUUCCUGCGGCGGCCGCUCUCCCCAUACUGCUCGCCCCGCUUAGGAGUACAGGUCCUCUUCCGCUACCCGGGAAAGGCUCGGCGAACCAGGGGGGCCGAGGAGAGUGGGUCCCGGGGGUCUUCAGCGAGCGACUGUUCCACGGCCGCUCCCUACAGCAGCGGGGCAGGGCGCUCCGAGCCGCCGCGCGCUGGGCACCCUAA